CUGGCUCAGGACGAACGCUGGCGGCGUGCCUAAUACAUGCAAGUCGAGCGAACCACUUCGGUGGUUAGCGGCGGACGGGUGAGUAACACGUGGGCAACCUGCCUGUAAGACUGGGAUAACUUCGGGAAACCGGAGCUAAUACCGGAUAAUCCUUUUCCUCUCAUGAGGAAAAGCUGAAAGACGGUUUCGGCUGUCACUUACAGAUGGGCCCGCGGCGCAUUAGCUAGUUGGUGAGGUAACGGCUCACCAAGGCGACGAUGCGUAGCCGACCUGAGAGGGUGAUCGGCCACACUGGGACUGAGACACGGCCCAGACUCCUACGGGAGGCAGCAGUAGGGAAUCUUCCACAAUGGACGAAAGUCUGAUGGAGCAACGCCGCGUGAGCGAUGAAGGCCUUCGGGUCGUAAAG
rnacentral:rRNA from 1 species